GUUAAGACCUCAAGGUCGAUCCCCUUGACAGCAGCUGGUGCUCUGAGCCAUCCCAGGAGGAGAUGAACUCUUCAACCUCUGGAGAUGGUGCCUGGAACCACUGCAAGCAUCUAGCCACCAGCCCAAGGCUGACAGUAGCACUGAGGAGAACAGAGCAGAGAGGUAGAAAGAACCUGGGUGUUUGGUGAUGUCAUCAAGCUGCUAAAUGAACCAUUGCUGGAGCCAGCCUACCUUGUGAUUGCUUGUUUUGUGGGAGCCUUGCUUCAGUACGUGAUAUCAAUUGGAAUGAUGAGAUAGUUUGCAUGUCUUAGGCACCCUGAAGUGGGCCAUAGCCAGUGCUUUCAGCCACCUCCCUUUGCAGAGAGCGGCGACUUCCCCUGAGGUGAUUUGAGCAGAUGGAUGUGGGUGGCACUGGCCCAGGCCUCCAGGACCGUCACUGAGAGGGACUCGUGAAGACCAGAAAAACUCUCUGUCGACCUUGGGACUUGUCUGAGAGGGAACAGCUGCCAGGCCUGUCAAAUGUGGAGCCCGUGUUAAAGGAAUUAUGACAGGAAGAGCUCUGCCAUCAAGCAUUCUAAUAGCUGCUGCUUACUUCCAGGCAUUUCAAUCUAGAAUCCUACAACCUGUGUAACGGGCAAUGAGAACACUUGCGUUUAAUGUUGAACCCAACAAACACAGGAUUUCCCGAAGCCGGGGCCAUGGAGCACCAGGCCCAAACCUCCUCCAGAAAAGAGUGCUGAGUGGUCAAGAAAAUACUCUUCCCACCUCUAGUGCAUUUAGUAAAGUCUCAGAAUCAGGCCAUAAAGAAACAUAUUCAUUCAUUUUAAAAACCUAAUACACCCAUGUA